AUUGAACGCUGGCGGCAGGCCUAACACAUGCAAGUCGAGCGAGCGGCGGACGGGUGAGUAAUGUCUGGGAAACUGCCUGAUGGAGGGGGAUAACUACUGGAAACGGUAGCUAAUACCGCAUACCAUCAGAUGUGCCCAGAUGGGAUUAGCUAGUAGGUGGGGUAACGGCUAACCUAGGCGACGAUCCCUAGCUGGUCUGAGAGGAUGACCAGCCACACAGAAACUGAGACACGGUCCAGAAUCGUACGGGAGGCAGCAGUGGGGAAUAUUGCACAAUGGGCGCAAGCCAGAUGCAGCGAUGCCGCGAGUGUGAAGAAGGCAAUCGGAUUGUAAAGCACUUUCAGCGGGGAGGCGUUACCCGCAGAAGAAGCACCGGCUAACUCCGUGCCAGCCGACGCGGUAAUAC
rnacentral:rRNA from 1 species